UACGGAGGGUGCAAGCGUUAUCCGGAUUCACUGGGUUUAAAGGGUGCGUAGGUGGGCAGGUAAGUCAGUGGUGAAAUCUCCCGGGCUUAACCCGGAACUGCCGUUGAUACUAUUUGUCUUGAAUAUUGUGGAGGUAAGCGGAAUAUGUCAUGUAGCGGUGAAAUGCUUAGAUAUGACAUAGAACACCAAUUGCGAAGGCAGCUUACUACACAACGAUUGACGCUGAGGCACGAAAGCGUGGGGAUCAAACAGG
rnacentral:rRNA from 1 species